rnacentral:rRNA from 1 species
UACGAAGGGGGCUAGCGUUGCUCGGAAUCACUGGGCGUAAAGCGCACGUAGGCGGACUCUUAAGUCGGUGGUGAAAUCCUGGAGCUCAACUCCAGAACUGCCUUCGAUACUGCGGGUCUCGAGUCCGGGAGAGGUGAGUGGAAUUCCUAGUGUAGAGGUGAAAUUCGUAGAUAUUAGGAAGAACACCAGUGGCGAAGGCGGCUCACUGGCCCGGUACUGACGCUGAGGCGACGAAAGCGUGGGGAGCAAACAGG